UUGAAAAGAGAAUUGCCUACCAACAAGGCUAUUCAACCGUGGUUGAUCAACUACGAGAAUUGAGUGGGCAUACACAACAUUCGAGUGCAUCCGUCACACAUCCUGCUAAUUGUGAAACACCACCUACACAUGAAGGUCCGGAUGUGCAUCCCAGUAGUGGAGAGCAUGUAAUCGGUGGUGAGCAAGUGGAGCAUGAUCUGAGUACACAACCUCAAGAACGUGAUGUUCCCCACUCAG